CCUAGCAGAGUGGGCUGGUCACCUGCUACGCUGUGAUUUGUUGCUGUGUUUUAUGAAACUACUAGCCCUGCCUAGAGCUGAAGUGGAGCCCUCCAGAGACCCUUCCCACCUGGAAUCUUCCUGAUGCUCUUUGCUCCUGUUUGAAGUUGGACCUUGCUGCCUGCCGUGCUCUCUGCUCCAUUCUUUCAGCAGAAGGUGGAGCUGAAGUCCUCGUCUUCGGAUCCUGAGAGAAAUUGGGGAGGACAGCGGAAAAGAGUUGCUUUGAAAAAGGAGCUUUUGAAAAGUGAGCGUGGCUUUGUUAAUUUACUGUUUCUAAUUGAAAGCUUACAGGGAAUAUGGUUUUGCUUUCUAGUGGUUAGCCAGCUGACUCAUGCAUCAUCACUUGCAAGGACCACACAGGACAAACUCUGCACUGAGUUAUGCUGGGACACCUCAUAGGCUUCAUCAUAUCUGUCUGUGCAAUAGGGCCUAUGAGCAAAUAACUGGCUCACAAAAACACUACUUGGUUUAAGUUAACUAAUUCCAGAGAUUUUGCUAAGUAAACAGUUCUUCUCCCUUGAGUGCCUGUAAAAGCAAGACGGCCUCUCGAAGCCAAAGAGAGCCUGUGGAAUAGUUAAUAAAACAACAAAUGGUUAGAAAUGGAGUUUAAUGAGAAGAAAGGACAAAUGGUGCUGGGCAUGCACAGGGUUAGCAUCCUGCCUGCUGCCCCUCCACCUCCUUACUGAGUCCUGCCUUCAGUCCUUUGAGGAAGGGGACCACAGGGACCUGAGCAAGGUUUUGUUGGCCACCAAGCAGGCAAGCCUUGAGGGACAGAGGGGUAGUUGUGGAUGUGUGUCUCUGGGAGCUCUGUGAGAGCUCUGUGGUGGUGUCAGCCCUGGCAAGAUGGAAGAGUGGAGGGUGGUCAUAUUAGAUGUGGUCUGAGACAGAUAAUGCCAUUUUGCCUACUCCAUCAAGAUCAUUUUCAUCACAGACAUCAGCGCCAGGUAAACUUUUGAUGCUGGCUCCCCCAGCAUAUCCACUGUCUGCUGUGUUUUCUGUGCUUCUGCAGAUGUGUGUGUACAAAGCGAUGGUGUGUUGGUCACUUUAACCGGCCCUGCCUUCUGCAAGAGCACAUAAAUUGCAGGCGUUUCUGGACUCCCACACAGCUUUUCUAGACCUGAAGCCGCUGGUGUCUGGGGGUGACAUUGUGCACAGAAAGUUUCCUGCAAGCUUGCCUCUCGCAGCAGUGCUCGUGUAAUAAGCCACCUCCCAGUUCUUCUCAGGCACUUUCAAAAUGAGUAUGUUUGGUAUAGACAGGGGAAUUGCAGGACUUUAAAAAGAGAUAAAAGGGACUGCAUGGUUGUGUAUUCAUUUUGUAGGCCUCGGUCAGACCUUGUUUUUCAGCUUCCUAUACUGUUCUCAUUAAGGGGAAGAUAAACCAUCUCCUAUGAUUGCAGUCUGUGAUUCCCAGCCCAGAUUGCUCUGUCCUGGGAAAUGUGCUUGGGCUGCUGUCAGAAACUGCUGUGUUUCACUGACUUAAAAUGCUUGCCUCUAAACGAAAAGGAGUAAGAUGGUCCUGGGAGGUGUCCUUGUCCUCUGGAAGAAACUGGGGGAUUGUGUGCCUUUGGCCUGGAACUGGUUUUGUUCCUUGGGCCUAGGCCUGUGUGAUCACAGUAUGUAGUGCAGGGAGGUUUCAUGGGUUAUCUUUGCAAAACCACCCUGAAUCAUCGAAAAAGCCAACUCCCUGUGAGAUUGCUGUAUAAAACACCUGCUGUAUAAGACUCUCUUAUUUAUCCUCCUUUUAAAAAAGGAGCAUUUCAUCCCUUGGUGGCAAAGAGUUGAUGGAGUGAGUUCCCCCUGCCCCAACACUGAUAUGCCUGCAUGUGAUCAGCUGGACCUGCUUUCAGGUGCUCUUAGAUAGCAGUCAGUAAGGCAGGACCCCUUUGUAGGGCCUCAUGAGGAGGUUAUGGGGUGACAGUGGUGCUUGUUCCCUCCUGGAGGGAUCUGGAGAUCAAUGUCAUGCCAGAGGGUACGGAGCUCUGUGUUGUGAGGAGGCUUGUGUGAUGUCUGAAGGCCUUCUGUGU